AUGCAGGCUCUUCUCUCGCCAGCUGCCCCUCACAAACACGACCAGCCUCGUCCCCUGCAACCACCGCUCUCUCUCAAGCACGGCUGCUAUCGCUGCCUCUCCACCCACCAUUUUGUUAGAGAUUGCCGUGACCCCGUCCGGUGCCGUCGGUGCCGGGUGUCCGGCCACCGUGCCUCCUCUCCCCGCUGCGCCAUGGCCCCCAAGCGCGAUGCUGCCGCCCCAACCCCUCUCCACUCGCGCCCUGACCUUGCCGCGCCGUGUGGCGGCAACCCCACCAGUCGUCGCCAGCCCACUCCCUACCCGCGGGCUCGCCCUUCAGCCUCCGCUAGCCGUGCCGCGUCCAUCCAGCCCAGGAGGCUGGAGGUGGGGGAGUCGAGCUCGGCUCCCGCUGUGGUGUCGAGAGCCGAGGUCCCGCCGCCUGGUUCCGGCGGGUCGGCUUCGUCCCUAUCGCCACCCCGCCCCCGCGACAUCUCCAUCACGGGGGUGGUCAACUCACCACCGCCGCCACCGCCGGUGGGACCUGAGGGGCGCGGGGGCCCCGUUGCACCCGCUACGACGCCUGCUUCGGCCAUCCCGCCCGAGCUCCUGGCGUUUCAUGACCGCGCCUCUUCCUCGUCCGAGUCCCGGGUCUCUCUGUGCUCCGGUUCCUCCAUGUCGUCCGGAAACUCCAUCCCUUCCAUCACCGCGGACUCGGAACGCCCCGACGCCUUGGAGGUUUUCAUGCCCGAUGGCGACUACGAGGCGGCCCAGCGCCUUGCUGUGGUGGUCAUCGUCCCCCCCUCCGCCUUCCACAACGACACGCUUGCGGUGCAAGCUGUCGUCCUCGACAACAUCGGCCAUCUCCUCCCGGAGGUCGUGUCGUCGUCGGUCGGGGCCAUGUACCUCCGCUUCGCGACCCGGGAGGACCGGGAGGAGGCUCUCCGGUGCCAGCCUUUCCAACACGAGGGCGCCCGCAUCGAUCUCUUUGCGGAGGAGGCCUACGACCGUGUCACUCCGCGUCUCGACGUGUGCGCGGUGCUGGCCGCCACCGGCUUCCCUGCAGAGUUCAUCACCCCGUUCUGCAUCCCCGCCAUGUUCUCCGGGUUCGGCAAAGUGCUCGAGGUGGACCCGCUUGUGCUCUCCGGCCGUGAGCUCGCCAUGGUGCAGGCGGUCGUCCUUCUGCAAAACCCCCGGCGCGUCCCGUGUGACGUUUGGCCCCUUGGUGGACGGUGGGGGACACGCAUUGUCGCGGUCCGUCCCGUCCGUGCCCGGAGCCGGGACGACUCCUUCUCGGCAGAUGGGACUUACAUCCCGUUUUUUGCUGAACCGCCACCCCCUUCGCCCACAACCAGGGCGUCCUCCUUGGUCAGCCGGUGGGAUCCCGCGCUGGCGGGGGCGCUGCCGUGCAUGGGGGCACGAGGGGGCCUGGGUUCCAGCUGGCCUCCAUGCUGCGACUCUUGGGUGCCCCCCCUCUCAAUUGCGGCCCGCCCCUUCGUCUCCCUGCUCCCCCCGUGGAGGAUGAGGCCUCGCCGCCCCACAGCGUGGGAUGGGCUCUUCUGGUGCAGGGUCGCCCGGCGGCCGGUCCAAUGUUACGCUAGUCGAAAUCGAGGAGCCGCCUCUGGCGGUGGUGGCGCCUCCCCCUGA
rnacentral:rRNA from 1 species